AUGAAAAUAAUUUCUGUCAGUAAUAUACAGCUUUUUGUGAAUGCGAACCGGCUAAGGUUAGAUGGGACCGAUGAAGGGAUAAGGAUGAAUUUAAUUCCAAGUCCACCAGAUUUGUUCCACCCGGCCCUGCCGGAUGCCAAUGUCAACUCUUCACAGCAUGGAGCCUGGCGUUGCACCCAUCACAACAAGAAGAUUAGCGCAGAGAGAGGUGCCAUGUCCAAGAGAUGUGGGUCCAACAGCUUCGUCCCACAAACUCUUCCCUUUUCUGCUGAUCGUAGGAUGGAUUUCUGGCUGCACAGCAGUUGUCUACUUUGUCUUCGUGUUUGCUUGGCAGAAAGGAGGUGUGCGGGGAAGAAAUUGAAUUCAACAGAGAAAUGA
rnacentral:lncRNA from 1 species